AGGGCUGGGGAUGUUGCUCAGUGGAGCACUUGCCUUGCAGGGAUGAGGCCCUGGGUUCCGUCCCUGGCAC
rnacentral:miRNA from 1 species